rnacentral:rRNA from 1 species
GAGUUUGAUCAUGGCUCAGAUUGAACGCUGGCGGCAGGCUUAACACAUGCAAGUCGAGCGGAAACGAUGAUAGCUUGCUAUCAGGCGUCGAGCGGCGGACGGGUGAGUAAUACUUAGGAAUCUACCUAGUAGUGGGGGAUAGCUCGGGGAAACUCGAAUUAAUACCGCAUACGUCCUACGGGAGAAAGCAGGGGAUCUUUGGACCUUGCGCUAUUAGAUGAGCCUAAGUCGGAUUAGCUAGAUGGUGGGGUAAAGGCCUACCAUGGCGACGAUCUGUAGCUGGUCUGAGAGGAUGAUCAGCCACACCGGGACUGAGACACGGCCCGGACUCCUACGGGAGGCAGCAGUGGGGAAUAUUGGACAAUGGGGGGAACCCUGAUCCAGCCAUGCCGCGUGUGUGAAGAAGGCCUUUUGGUUGUAAAGCACUUUAAGCAGUGAAGAAGACUCUUCGGUUAAUACCCGGGGACGAUGACAUUAGCUGCAGAAUAAGCACCGGCUAACUCUGUGCCAGCAGCCGCGGUAAUACAGAGGGUGCAAGCGUUAAUCGGAAUUACUGGGCGUAAAGCGAGCGUAGGUGGCUUGAUAAGUCAGAUGUGAAAUCCCCGGGCUUAACCUGGGAACUGCAUCUGAAACUGUUAGGCUAGAGUAGGUGAGAGGGAAGUAGAAUUUCAGGUGUAGCGGUGAAAUGCGUAGAGAUCUGAAGGAAUACCGAUGGCGAAGGCAGCUUCCUGGCAUCAUACUGACACUGAGGCUCGAAAGCGUGGGUAGCAAACAGGAUUAGAUACCCUGGUAGUCCACGCCGUAAACGAUGUCUACUAGUCGUUGGGUCCCUUGAGGACUUAGUGACGCAGCUAACGCAAUAAGUAGACCGCCUGGGGAGUACGGCCGCAAGGUUAAAACUCAAAUGAAUUGACGGGGCCCGCACAAGCGGUGGAGCAUGUGGUUUAAUUCGAUGCAACGCGAGGACCUUACCUGGUCUUGACAUAACCAGAAUUCUUGUAGAGAUACGAG